rnacentral:rRNA from 2 species
CGGCUGUCUGGUCUGCAACUGACGCUGAGGCUCGAAAGCAUGGGUAGCGAACAGGAUUAGAUACCCUGGUAGUCCAUGCCGUAAACGAUGAGUGCUAGGUGUUGGAGGGUUUCCGCCCUUCAGUGCCGCAGCUAACGCAUUAAGCACUCCGCCUGGGGAGUACGACCGCAAGGUUGAAACUCAAAGGAAUUGACGGGGGCCCGCACAAGCGGUGGAGCAUGUGGUUUAAUUCGAAGCUACGCGAAGAACCUUACCAGGUCUUGACAUCUUGCGCCAACCCUAGAGAUAGGGCGUUUCCUUCGGGAACGCAAUGACAGGUGGUGCAUGGUCGUCGUCAGCUCGUGUCGUGAGAUGUUGGGUUAAGUCCCGCAACGAGCGCAACCCUUGUUACUAGUUGCCAGCAUUCAGUUGGGCACUCUAGUGAGACUGCCGGUGACAAACCGGAGGAAGGUGGGGACGACGUCAGAUCAUCAUGCCCCUUAUGACCUGGGCUACACACGUGCUACAAUGGACGGUACAACGAGUCGCGAACUCGCGAGGGCAAGCUAAUCUCUUAAAACCGUUCUCAGUUCG